UGCCCAGCAACUCCUAUUUCUACCUCUUCGCGGUACUGGCCGGGGUACGAGCAACUUUUGGAAAGAUCGGACAACCAACCCCGGUGGGAACUUUGGUCGUAUGCUAACAGGGAAAG
rnacentral:ribozyme from 1 species